GACGAACGCUGGCGGCGUGCUUUAGACAUGCAAGUCGAACGAGAUCUUCGGAUCUAGUGGCGAACGGCGGAGUAAUACAUAAACAACGUGCCCUGAAGACUGGGAUAUACGGUCGAAAGGCCGAGCAAUACCGGAUGUGGCCGAGACUAGGCAUCUAGACUCGAUUAAAUGGUUUUCGCUUCAGGAGCGGUUUAUGACUCAUCAGCUAGUUGGUAGGGUAAUGGCCUACCAAGGCUACGACGGGUAGGGGGUCUGAGAGGAUGAUCCCCCCGAGUGGGACUGAGACACGGCCCACACACCUACGGGUGGCAGCAGUUUGGAAUCUUGCCCAAUGGGGGAAACCCUGAGGCAGCGACGCCGCGUGGAGGAUGAAGGAUUUAGGUCUGUAAACUCCUUUGCCAGGAAAGACUUAGGACGGUACCUGGCGAAUAAGCUCCGGCUAACUACGUGCCAGCAGCCGCGGUAU
rnacentral:rRNA from 1 species